AGAGUUUGAUCCUGGCUCAGAUUGAACGCUGGCGGCAUGCCUAACACAUGCAAGUCGAACGGAAACAGGACGCUGGGAUCUCUUCGGAGUGAACUUGUCGCUGUCGAGUGGCGGACGGGUGAGUAAUGCAUAGGAAGUUGCCUCAAAGUGGGGGAUAGCCCGGAGAAAUCCGGAUUAAUACCGCAUGUGCUCUACGGAGCAAAGCGGGCCUCUGAUUUAAGCUCGCGCUUUGAGAUAUGCCUAUGUCGGAUUAGCUAGUUGGUAGGGUAAUGGCCUACCAAGGCGACGAUCCGUAGCUGGUUUGAGAGGAUGAUCAGCCACACUGGGACUGANAUACAGCCCANACUCCUACGGGAGGCAGCAGUGGGGAAUAUUGGACAAUGGGCGCAAGCCUGAUCCAGCAAUGCCGCGUGUGUGAAGAAGGCCUGCGGGUUGUAAAGCACUUUUAUCGGGAAAGAAAAUCUCAGGGUUAAUAACCCUGGGCCUUGACGGUACCCGAAGAAUAAGCACCGGCUAACUCANUGCCAGCAGCCGCGGUAAUACUGAGGGUGCAAGCGUUAAUCGGAAUUACUGGGCGUAAAGCGAGUGUAGGCGGCUGCGUAAGUCGGAUGUGAAAGCCCCGGGCUCAACCUGGGAAUUGCAUUC
rnacentral:rRNA from 1 species